rnacentral:misc_RNA from 1 species
AUGGGUGCCCCGACGUUGCCCCCUGCCUGGCAGCCCUUUCUCAAGGACCACCGCAUCUCUACAUUCAAGAACUGGCCCUUCUUGGAGGGCUGCGCCUGCACCCCGGAGCGGAUGGCCGAGGCUGGCUUCAUCCACUGCCCCACUGAGAACGAGCCAGACUUGGCCCAGUGUUUCUUCUGCUUCAAGGAGCUGGAAGGCUGGGAGCCAGAUGACGACCCCAUAGAGGAACAUAAAAAGCAUUCGUCCGGUUGCGCUUUCCUUUCUGUCAAGAAGCAGUUUGAAGAAUUAACCCUUGGUGAAUUUUUGAAACUGGACAGAGAAAGAGCCAAGAACAAAAUUGGUCUUACUCUGUCACCCAGGCUGAGUGCAGUGGUGUGAUCUUGGCUCACCUCAGCCUCGACCCCCUGGGCUCAAAUGAUUCUCCCACCUCAGCUUCCCAAGUAGCUGGGACCACAGGCAAAGGAAACCAACAAUAAGAAGAAAGAAUUUGAGGAAACUGCGGAGAAAGUGCGCCGUGCCAUCGAGCAGCUGGCUGCCAUGGAUUGAGGCCUCUGGCCGGAGCUGCCUGGUCCCAGAGUGGCUGCACCACUUCCAGGGUUUAUUCCCUGGUGCCACCAGCCUUCCUGUGGGCCCCUUAGCAAUGUCUUAGGAAAGGAGAUCAACAUUUUCAAAUUAGAUGUUUCAACUGUGCUCUUGUUUUGUCUUGAAAGUGGCACCAGAGGUGCUUCUGCCUGUGCAGCGGGUGCUGCUGGUAACAGUGGC